rnacentral:rRNA from 1 species
UACGGAGGGUGCAAGCGUUAUCCGGAUUCACUGGGUUUAAAGGGUGUGUAGGCGGGCUGUUAAGUCAGUGGUGAAAUCUCCGGGCUCAACCCGGAAACUGCCAUUGAUACUAUCAGUCUUGAAUAUCGUUGAGGUGGGCAGAAUAUGUCAAUGUAGCGGUGAAAUGCAUAGAUAUGACAUAGAAUACCGAUUGCGAAGGCAGCUCACUAACCGAUCAUUGACGCUGAGGCACGAAAGCGUGGGGAUCAAACAGG